UACGUAGGGCGCAAGCGUUGUCCGGAUUUAUUGGGCGUAAAGAGUUCGUAGGCGGUGUGUCGCGUCGGCCGUGAAAACCUGCAGCUUAACUGUGGGCUUGCGGUCGAUACGGGCAUCACUGGAGUUCGGCAGGGGAGACUGGAAUUCCUGGUGUAGCGGUGAAAUGUGCAGAUAUCAGGAGGAACACCGGUGGCGAAGGCGGGUCUCUGGGCCGAUACUGACGCUGAGGAGCGAAAGCGUGGGGAGCGAACAGG
rnacentral:rRNA from 1 species